UACGUAGGUGGCAAGCGUUGUCCGGAUUUACUGGGCGUAAAGAGCGCGCAGGCGGUCGUUCAAGUCGCGUGUGAAAGCCCCCGGCUCAACUGGGGAGGGUCACGCGAUACUGAUCGACUCGAAGGCAGGAGAGGGUAGUGGAAUUCCCGGUGUAGUGGUGAAAUGCGUAGAGAUCAGGAAGAACACCGGUGGCGAAAGCGCUCUGCUAGGCCGCAACUGACACUCAUGGACGAAAGCUAGGGGAGCGAAUGGG
rnacentral:rRNA from 1 species